rnacentral:lncRNA from 1 species
CCAAACUAACUUCUUAAGAUCAUCCUGCACAUCAUUCCAGGUGACGUGUACAAUAAGAAUCUUUUCCCGUGCAAUAACCCCAAGAUAGCUGUGAAAUUUGUCUUUGUGGGGCCCAAAUCCUCUUAUAGUGGCAAGGUUAACACUAACAACUGGUCAUGGUUGAUCUAAACUUCUAGUAGUUAGCCUUCUUAGCCUGGUAGAUUGUCUAGUC